CAAGUCAGAAGGAGCAACGCCGGGUGAGGGAAGAAGGGGGGGGGGUCGUAAAACUCUGUUGUUGGAGAAGAAUGGUCGGCAGAGUAACUGUGUUUGGCGUGACGGUAUCCAACCAGAAAGCCACGGCUAAAUACGUGCCAGCAGCCGCGGUAAUACGUAGGUGGCAAGCGUUUUCCGGAUUUAUUGGGCGUAAAGCGAGCGCCGGCGGUUUUUUAAGUUUGAUGUGAAAGCCCUCGGUUUAACCGAGGAAGCGCAUCGGAAACUGGGAAACUUGAGUGCAGAAGAGGACAGUGGAAAUCCAUGUGUAGCGGUGAAAUGGGUAGAUAUAUGGAAGAACACCAGUGGCGAAGGCGGCUGUCUGGUCUGUAACUGACGUUGAGGCUCGAAAGCAUGGGUAGGGAACCGGAUUAGAUACCCCGGUUGUUCAUGCCGUAAAUGAUGAAUGAUAGGUGUGGAGGGUUUCCGCCCUUCAGUGCCGCAGCUAACGCAUUAAGCAUCCGCCUG
rnacentral:rRNA from 1 species